AUUGAACGCUGGCGGCAGGCCUAACACAUGCAAGUCGAGCGAGCGGCGGACGGGUGAGUAAUGUAUGGGGACUGCCUGAUGGAGGGGGAAAACUACUGGAAACGGUAGCUAAUACCGAAUACAAUAGGAUAACCCAUAGGGGAUUAGCUUGUAGGUGAGGUAAAGGCUGACCUAGGCGACGAUCCCUAGCUGGUCUGAGAGGAUGAUAAGCCAGACUGGGACUGAGACACGGCCCAGACUCCUCGGGAGGCAGCGGUGGGGAAUAUUGCACAAUGGGCGCAAGCCGGAUGCAGCCAUGCCGCGUGUAUGAAGAAGGCCUUCAGGUUGUAAAGUACUUUCAGUCGGUAGGCGUUACCGACAGAAGAAGCACCGGCUAACUCCGUGCCAGCAGCCGCGGUAAUUC
rnacentral:rRNA from 1 species